UUUUUUUAUCAAUGCAAGUUUAAUUCCGAUUUUACACCCGUUGGACUGCAAGUAUACAGGUCGUAAUUGUAGUACAAGAUGUGUAUCGGGUCGAUCCCACGAGGAGCAAUUAAAACAAUUAUUAGAUACUAAUUUACUCUAUUAUUUAGACUUACAAUUAAUUUGAGCAGAAAUUUCAGAAUGUAAUUCAACUACAAAAAUUCUUAACUAGAUAAAUGCAAUUUCACAAAAGGAAUAGAAUUCACUAAAUAUUAAGAUCUAGGGAUGUAGAUUCCACUUAUGAUUCAAAAGAUCUAAAAUGAAUUAAUUCAACACUUGUUACUGCUCUUGUUUAACCAAGAAUUCAUUUCCAGAAAUACCAAAAUCACAUUCUCAUGAUGAUAAUGGGUUAAAACAGAUUAGUUUUUCCUAAUCUCUUGGUAAAUACUAAAUAUGUUCUUAUUUACACAUGAAAUGCAGAUUUCAUCCACUUGAAUGUAUUUCUAUUCUCAUGAAUAUACAACUCAAGUUCUACUUGUGUCAUUCCAUUAUUUUUACCAUUUCUCAAUGAGUAAAAACAACUAUAAACCUGCCAUUGGUGAUCAAGCAACAACAAGUAAUCCAACAUACACAAGUAGAUAAGUUAAUACAAGACAU
rnacentral:lncRNA from 1 species